rnacentral:ncRNA from 3 species
GGGAGUCCGGAGACGUCGGCGGGGGCC